UACAGAGGGUGCGAGCGUUAAUCGGAAUUAUUGGGCGUAAAGCGCGCGUAGGCGGCUACUUAAGUCGGAUGUGAAAGCCCUUGGCUCAACUGAGGAAGUGCACCCGAAACUGAGUGGCUUGAGUACGAAAGAGGGUCGCGGAAUUCCCGGUGUAGAGGUGAAAUUCGUAGAUAUCGGGAGGAACACCGGUGGCGAAGGCGGCGACCUGGGUCGAUACUGACGCUGAUGCGCGAAAGCGUGGGGAGCAAACAGG
rnacentral:rRNA from 1 species